UACGUAGGGUGCAAGCGUUGCUCGGAAUCACUGGGCGUAAAGCGCACGCAGGCGGAUUGCUAAGUCAGGGGUGAAAUCCUGGAGCUCAACUCCAGAACUGCCUUUGAUACUGGCGAUCUCGAGUCCGGGAGAGGUGAGUGGAACUGCGAGUGUAGAGGUGAAAUUCGUAGAUAUUCGCAAGAACACCAGUGGCGAAGGCGGCUCACUGGCCCGGUACUGACGCUGAGGUGCGAAAGCGUGGGGAGCAAACAGG
rnacentral:rRNA from 1 species